UGCAAGUCGUGCGGACCUUUUAAAAGCUUGCUUUUAAAAGGUUAGCGGCGGACGGGUGAGUAACACGUGGGCAACCUGCCUGUAAGAUCGGGAUAACGCCGGGAAACCGGGGCUAAUACCGGAUAGUUUUUUCCUCCGCAUGGAGGAAAAAGGAAAGACGGCUUCGGCUGUCACUUACAGAUGGGCCCGCGGCGCAUUAGCUUGUUGGUGGGGUAACGGCUCACCAAGGCAACGAUGCGUAGCCGACCUGAGAGGGUGAUCGGCCACAUUGGGACUGAGACACGGCCCAAACUCCUACGGGAGGCAGCAGUAGGGAAUCUUCCGCAAUGGACGAAAGUCUGACGGAGCAACGCCGCGUGAGUGAAGAAGGCCUUCGGGUCGUAAAACUCUGUUGCCGGGGAAGAACAAGUGCCGUUCGAACAGGGCGGCGCCUUGACGGUACCCGGCCAGAAAGCCACGGCUAACUAC
rnacentral:rRNA from 1 species